rnacentral:rRNA from 1 species
UUAAGUGACAAAGCGUACAAGGUGGAUGCCUUGGCAAUCAGAGGCGAGGAAGGACGUGCUAAUCUGCGAAAAGCUUGGAUGAGUCGAUAAGAGGCGUUUAAUCCAAGAUGUCCGAAUGGGGAAACCCAGUGGGUGAAGAACCCACUAUCAUUAUCUGAAUCCAUAGGAUAAUGAGGCGAACCGGGAGAACUGAAACAUCUAAGUACCCCGAGGAAAAGAAAUCAACCGAGAUUUUGUGAGUAGCGGCGAGCGAAAGCGAAGGAGCCUGUUAGUGAUAAUGACAGAGACAGAGGAACAAGCUGGGAAGCUUGGCGAUACAGGGUGAUAGCCCCGUACUCGACGUCCAGGUCAUGGUACUAAGCUAACGACAAGUAGGGCGGGACACGUGAUAUCCUGUUUGAAGAUGGGGGGACCAUCCUCCAAGGCUAAAUACUCCUGAUUGACCGAUAGUGAACCAGUACUGUGAAGGAAAGGCGAAAAGAACCCCGGUGAGGGGAGUGAAAUAGAACCUGAAACCUUGUACGUACAAGCAGUGGGAGCCUGCAAGGGUGACUGCGUACCUUUUGUAUAAUGGGUCAGCGACUUAUAUUUUGUAGCGAGGUUAACCGAAUAGGGGAGCCGAAGGGAAACCGAGUCUUAACUGGGCGUCUAGUUGCAAGGUAUAGACCCGAAACCCGGUGAUCUAGCCAUGGGCAGGUUGAAGGUUGGGUAACACUAACUGGAGGACCGAACCGACUAAUGUUGAAAAAUUAGCGGAUGACUUGUGGCUGGGGGUGAAAGGCCAAUCAAACCGGGAGAUAGCUGGUUCUCCCCGAAAUCUAUUUAGGUAGAGCCUUGAGCGGACACCUUCGGGGGUAGAGCACUGUUUCGGCUAGGGGGCCAUCCCGGCUUACCAACCCGAUGCAAACUACGAAUACCGAAGAGUGAUACUCAGGAGACACACGGCGGGUGCUAACGUCCGUCGUGGAGAGGGAAACAACCCAGACCGCCAGCUAAGGUCCCAAAGUCUAUAUUAAGUGGGAAACGAAGUGGGAAGGCUUAGACAGCUAGGAUGUUGGCUUAGAAGCAGCCAUCAUUUAAAGAAAGCGUAAUAGCUCACUAGUCGAGUCGGCCUGCGCGGAAGAUGUAACGGGGCUCAAAUAUAGCACCGAAGCUGCGGCAUCAGACGUAAGUCUGUUGGGUAGGGGAGCGUUGUGUAAGCGGAUGAAGGUUCAUCGAGAGGUGGGCUUGACGUAUCACAAGUGCGAAUGCUGACAUAAGUAACGAUAAAACGGGUGAAAAACCCGUUCGCCGGAAGACCAAGGGUUCCUGUCCAACGUUAAUCGGGGCAGGGUGAGUCGGCCCCUAAGGCGAGGCUGAAAAGCGUAGUCGAUGGGAAACGGGUUAAUAUUCCCGUACUUGGUAAAGCUGCGAUGUGGGGACGGAGCAGGUUAGGUUAGCGUACUGUUGGAUAUGUACGUUUAAGUUCGUAGGUGGGGAGUUUAGGCAAAUCCGGACUUCCUUAACACUGAGAGAUGAUGACGAGGCUCUACGGAGCCGAAGUAACUGAUACCACACUUCCAGGAAAAGCCACUAAGCGAAAGGCUUUACUAAACCGUACUGAAAACCGACACAGGUGGUCAGGUAGAGAAUACUCAGGCGCUUGAGAGAACUCGGGUGAAGGAACUAGGCAAAAUAGCACCGUAACUUCGGGAGAAGGUGCGCCGGCGUAGAUUGUAGUCCCUUGCGGGCGAAGGUUGAACCGGUCGAAGAUACCAGCUGGCUGCAACUGUUUAUUAAAAACACAGCACUCUGCAAACACGAAAGUGGACGUAUAGGGUGUGAUGCCUGCCCGGUGCUGGAAGAUUAAUUGAUGGGGUGAGAGCCCUUGAUCGAAGUCCCAGUAAACGGCGGCCGUAACUAUAACGGUCCUAAGGUAGCGAAAUUCCUUGUC